AUACGUAGGGUGCAAGCGUUAAUCGGAAUUACUGGGCGUAAAGCGUGCGCAGGCGGUUUUUUAAGGCAGUGGUGAAAUCCCCCGGCUCAACCUGGGAAAUGCCAUUGAGACUGGAAGGCUUGAGUGCGGCAGAGGGGGAUGGAAUUCCGCGGGUAGCGGAGAAAUGCGUAGAUAUGCGGAGGAACACCGAUGGCGAAGGCAAUCCCCUGGGCCUGCUCUGACGCUCAUGCGCGAAAGCGUGGGGAGCAAACAGGAUUAGAUACCCUGGUAGUCCACGCCCUAAACGAUGUCAACUGGUUGUUGGGGAUUUAUUUUCUCAGUAACGAAGCUAACGCGUGAAGUUGACCGCCUGGGGAGUACGGCCGCAAGGUUAAAACUCAAAUGAAUUGGCGGGG
rnacentral:rRNA from 1 species